rnacentral:lncRNA from 1 species
UUAGCCAGAGGCGAUCUUAAAGUAUUAUCUUUAGGUUUUAAGGAGGAUGUGCCAAGUACUUAAAAAGAUUGAGGCAAGAGCUGAGCAUAGUGAUGUAUACCCGUAAUUCCAGCAGUUGAAAAACUGAGGCAGGAAGAUUGUCAGUUCAAGGCCAGUCUGGGUUAUAUAGCAAAAUCCUGUCAAAAAGUAACCACACGUAAGUUAAGGUUCUAUGGUAGACCUUUCCUCACCUCACAGAUAGCACUUAAGCAUUAUUAAGUAGUGUUUAACGUUACAAAUAAGAUGUGGUAUUUUUAUAAUAGAACCUGUUACUGAAAAUUCGAGUGUUUUAGACGACAAUAAUGAAACCCUUACUUUACAUAAAAUAUGGAGUAGUGUACCUCAUUUAAGUGAAAAACAAAUUGUAGUAGUCUACUCUAUCUCUCUGCUACCAUUUUCUCCUUUUUAAGGUUUUAUGUAUAUGAGUGUUUUGCCUGCAUGUAUGUCUGUGCACUAUGUGAGUACAGUGCCUGUGGAGGCCAGAUAUGACUUCAGUGUCAUAUCUAUUGACACUGAAGUUACAGAUAACUGUGAGCUGCCCUUUGGGUGCUAAGAAUCACACUCAGUCUCUCUGGAUGGGCAGUCAGUGUUCUUAACUGCUGAGCCAUCGCUUCAGCCUCAACUUUUCUUUUUUGAGAAGAACAAAAAUCUCACUUUUCUUUGCUAAGACUAUGAGGAGUAUUAUAUAUUAAGGAGGCAGUUAAUAGGAAUUAUUUUUCCUUGUAUUAGCACAUUUUAACUGUUCCUAUGUCAUUAAGGUAUGCAAAUCAUAACAGUGUUCUGUUUUCUAAUUGCUUGUUUUUCUUUAUAGUAAUAAAAGAGCAGUCCAAGGGGGUCGCUUGUCAGCAAUUACCAUGGCACUUCAGUAUGGAUCAGAGAGUGAAGAGGACGCUGCUUUAGCUGGUAGGCAUUUUUAGAUUGAGGUCCUUCUGGCUGAGGGAAAUUGCACCAACUUUGGUCUUGGAGUUGGUUAGUUUUUUUAAGAAAUGUUAUUUUGUUGCAUUGAUGCAAUCUUGGGUAAAUAAAUUGUCAAAGGCAAAUUGUUCUCUGUUAAUGAACAUAAUUGGAUAAACAGAAAAUGCGAACAUAAAAGAGUAGAUAAAGAUAUAUAUCAGGUAAGAGGCUAGAGAAACUGCUCAACCAUGAUAGGGGUUCAGUUUCCACCAUCUACAUGGCACCUAACAACCCUUUGUAACUCGAGUUCCAAGAGACCUGGCACCCUUUCCUGGCUUCUGUAGGCACUGCAUGCAUAUGCUGUACAGGCACAAGCACUCACAUAAAAUAAAAAGAACUUUAUUUUUUUUAAACAAUGUAUCAGGCGAAUAAUAACCAAGAAGAAAUAAAUCACCAAAGAGUAAAGACUAGCUGUAGCUAUAUUGACUUCUGAUAAAGUUAGCUCUCACGUACAGAUAGUGACAGAUAACAUUAGGUCACAGUGAUAAAGGUUUGUUUCCUUGCAAAGGUGUAAUAUAAGAGCUCCAAGUAUGAAAAACAACAACAAAACAUAUGGAUCUUUGUGUGAAACUUGAAAAUACUGUCUUUGGAAGUUAAAGGGCCCCUCUCACAGUCACUAAAUGAGCAGAUGGUAGCUGUGGAUUCAUUAACUAUGGCACUAGCAGUGUACUAGGCAUUGAACCCAGGGCUACAUUCAUCCUAGACUAAGCGCCAACACUGAGCAGCAUCCCCAGCCCUUGUACAGACUUCUUUGUAUUACUUUGCUUCCUAUUGUUGAAGCAAGUUACCAUAUUUUUACUGAUUUAGAGCAACAUUAUUUUAUUUUCUUGUAGUUGUGGAGCUCGGGUAUCUAAAGUCAAGGUGGUGAGUAGGCCACUAAGAUAUAGGAAAAUCCAUUCCUCCAUUUCUCUGGCUUCUAGAGGCCUCCUGUAUGUCCUUUGGUUCAUAGUCCCUUCUUCCAAGUUCACAAUGUAGCCUUGGUAUUUAUUAUCCGUUCUUCCUGACUCUUUGGUUGUAGUGUGCUUGUCAUUCUUUUUCUUUUUUAAAAAGAUUUAUUUGUUUAAUGUAUAUGAGUACACUGUAGCUGUCUUCAGACACACCAGAAGAAGGCAUCGCAUUCCAUUACAUUAGUGAGGCACCAUGUGGUUACUGGGAAUUGAACUCAGGACCUCUGGAAAAGCAGUCAGUGCUCUUUAAUCACUGAACCAUCUCUCCAGCCCCACGUCCUUUUCAUUAUUUUUAAGAGCCGACUUAAUCCACUUUCACCUUCUUAAGACAAGAUUGUUACUAAAAUUUACAAAGUUCUUUUUAUGACAUAGGUAACAUUUACAGGUUCUGUGGAUUGGAACAUUGAUGUGUUCUAGUGCUUAUUACACAUAGCAGGCUUGAUAUGUACAUUCUGUACUUAGAAAAUAUAUAUUUCUCCCCAGUUCACAGUUAUCAAAAUUGACUUUAUCUACUGAGCUUGACAUAAAUUUCAGUAAAUUUGAACAGUUCAGAAUUAUAUACUGCAUCUUUUUGAUAUUAUAAGAUAACAACUAAUAAAGAAAAGAUAAAGUUUAAAAACCUUACUGGGGACCAGGCAUGUACCUCAGUUGGUAAGAGCACUUGCCAUACAUGCAUAAAACCCUGGUUUUGAUCCCUAGUACCUCAUAAAACUGGCUCUGGUGGUACAUGUAAUUUGAGCACUCUAGACAUAGAAGCAGAAGGAUCAGAAAGUUAAGAUGAACCUCAGCUUUAAGGGAAACCCUUUUCUAGUCUCUUCAGGCACCUGUACACACGUGCACGUGCAUGAGUGUGUGUGUGUGUACAAAUACAUCUUUAGAUAAAUGAGAAGCAUGGGUUUUAUAUUUCUAUAAAAAUCACUAUUUGUUGUGUUCUGGUAUUUCUAUGACUUAGCUUCUACCUGAAUACUUCCUCAUUAAGGAAUUGUUCCUCUCAUGUUAUAGAUGAAAGGGACAAAGUGAGACUUCAUGCUGAAUUAUGUCUGAGAGUGUCAGCCUAAUCUAAGUUUAUACUGAGAGUGGUAAAUGUGUUGGUCUUCUAUUUUUCUAACAUUUUUGUUUCGCUCACAAUUUUGGAAGUUCUAGUCUGUGAUCAGUUAGACCUGUUUCUCGUAGUCUAUGGCAAAGUGUUAUUCAUUUUACAUACUAGGGGCUAUGGUAGAGCAAAACCUUCUCCCUGGUGUUGGGUAAGUGAAAUGAAAACAGAAAUAGGUCUCAUUACCUCCUUCAGAUGCAUCACCAUCUCCCACCCCAUGCCCAAGACUCCCACUAAUGCACACCUUUAGUUUCUCCCACCUCUCAAUAAUGCCACUCUGAGGAAGAUGAUUUUUAACACAGGAGACUUUUGGGUGGGGUGUGAUUACAGAUCCUGGCUGUAGCAAUGAACUUCAUGCUUCUGUAUUAGUUCUGAGCUCUCUGAAUAACUACUUGUUCCUUUUGGCUAAACAUAGCAGGAAAUCUGAAGAAAACAUUUUUUAAAAAUAAACUAUUUUUUAGUCUUUUAGCUGAGUGUAACUUUUGAAUUUAAUAUUUCUAGAUAUUUUUCUGUUACAUGCAAUUAUACUAAAUACUUUUUAGAUUUAUUUUUUGUUUAUGUGUCUGUGUGAAUGUAUAGUGAGUGUUUGCUAUGCCUAUGAAGGGAACCAGAAAUCCGAUCCUCUGGAGCUGUAAUACAGGUUCUCAACUGCCCAGUGUGGGUUCUGGGAAACGAAUUCACAGUCUCGGAAACAGCAGCAAGCAUUCUUAACUGAGCCAUCUCUCGAGUACCUACUCUAAUCAUGUUUAACAUUGUCUUUAAGGAAAAUUAGAGAUCUUUUAAAAUCAUCUUCAAAGCUGUGCAUAGUUGUAUGUGCCCAAAACACUAGCACUUUAGGAGGUAGAUGCUUUUCCUGUAAGCUGGAAGCCAACCAAGUCUAUACAGUGAAACCAUUACUC